rnacentral:rRNA from 1 species
UAUUAUUUAAAAUGUAAAUAAAAAUGCUUAAGUAGUAAUAGUUAUGUUCUUGAAACUUAAAAAAUUUGGCGGUAUUUUAGUCUAUCCAGAGGAACCUGUUUUGUAAUCGAUAAUCCACGAUGGACCUUACUUAAGUUUGUAAUCAGUUUAUAUACCGUCGUUAUCAGAAUAUUUUAUAAGAAUAAUAAUAUUCAAUAAUUUUUAAAAGAAUUUAUAUCAGAUCAAGGUGUAGCUUAUAUUUAAGUAAUAAUGGGUUACAAUAAAUUUAUUUAAACGGAUAAAAUUAUGAAAAAAUUUUUGAAGGUGGAUUUGGUUGUAAAAUUAUAAAGAUUAAUAAUUUGAUUUUAGCUCUAAAAUAUGUACACAUCGCCCGUCGCUCUUAUUAUUAAGGUAAGAUAAGUCGUAACAUAGUAGAUGUACUGGAAAGUGUAUCUAGAAUGA